UACGUAGGUGGCAAGCGUUAUCCGGAUUCACUGGGCGUAAAGGGAGCGCAGGCGGCAUGGCAAGUCUGAUGUGAAAACCCGGGGCCCAACCCCGGGAGUGCAUUGGAAACUGCCAGGCUGGAGUGUCGGAGGGGUAAGCGGAAUUCCUAGUGUAGCGGUGAAAUGCGUAGAUAUUAGGAGGAACACCAGUGGCGAAGGCGGCUUACUGGACGACUACUGACGCUGAGGCUCGAAAGCGUGGGGAGCAAACAGG
rnacentral:rRNA from 1 species